rnacentral:rRNA from 1 species
CCUACGGGUGGCAGCAGUGGGGAAUCUUGCGCAAUGGGCGAAAGCCUGAUGCAGCGACGCCGCGUGAGGGAUGAAGGUCUUCGGAUCGUAAACCUCUGUCAGCAGGGAAGAACGGUCACUGUGCUAAUCAGCAGUGAAUUGACGGUACCUGCAAAGGAAGCACCGGCUAACUCCGUGCCAGCAGCCGCGGUAAUACGGAGGGUGCAAGCGUUAAUCGGAAUUACUGGGCGUAAAGCGCUCGUAGGCGGUAUGUCAAGUCAAGGGUGAAAUCCCCGCGCUGAACGUGGGAACUGCCUUGGAAACUGGCAAACUGGAGUGCAGGAGAGGAUAGUGGAAUUCCAGGUGUAGGAGUGAAAUGCGUAGAUAUCUGGAGGAACAUCAGUGGCGAAGGCGACUAUCUGGCACAUAACUGACGCUGAGGAGCGAAAGCGUGGGUAGCAAACAGGAUUAGAUACCCGAGUAGUC